CGGGUCGGCUCCGAACAUACGCGGCGAGGGCUUCGAGCGCGUGAGGCGAGGCGGCGCCCCUUCCUCUCCCGGCGGCGGCGCGGCGCCCCUUCCUCUCGCGCUCCCAUCGACCGCAGAGGCGGCGAGGCUCGGCUUCUUCUCGAACGGCGCCGCUCCACCGCCCUUCCCCACCGGCGCCGUCGAGGCUUCGAUCCCCAAUUCGCGUACUCGCACCGUCGCACGCGAUGGCGGCACCCUCUCCUCCCAUCCCGGUCUCCACGCCGGCGCCACGGCGACGCCUUUCCCCUUCUCCUGAAUUCUACAUCGGCGUGACGGCGAUGCUUCCUUCUUCCCUCCUCCCCGCCAGCAGCGCCGCCUCUUCCUCCACCUGACGCCGGCUUCCAUCUCGUUGGUUACGAACUCGCGCUGCCCCUUGCGCCCAUGCCGUUGGCGGCGGUGACUUGGCUGUCGUCCCACUCAGCCUACCGCGUGUUCUGCUGCCCGACAUGGCCACGCCAUCGGCCGUCCCUGCUGGUAUGAGCCAAACUGCAGUAUGUCUUGUUUGCCUGUAAUGUCAAAGCUGAUGAGCUGAUCUCUUGUUUGCCGUCAAAACUUGCUUGUUGAUUGAUUCGUUUUUGUCAAUUUUGAAGUUUGUCAUGUGCUAAGCACUGAUGUAUCGGGUAGCAAAAAAAUUGAUAAUUUCAGUGUGUUUCUAUUAACAUCAGUGGUAAUUAAUUAAGCAUCUCCAAUCAAAAAAUCAACAGAUUAUAUUCUACUUACGUUCUUUCAUUUGAUUUGGCAUGUGUACUCUCUUCUAGCAAAAAUCUGAUUUUUUUUUCAUGGGUCAACCCGUGGUACCCACUGGCAUUGUUGCAUCCUAGGUGGGUUUCAUGGGGCGAGUCUGGGUCGGCGCCGCCAUCAUCUCCUCUCCUCCUCCCUUUCCCGUCGCCGCAGCCGUCAUCGUCGCGUCUCCUCACUAUCGGAAUCAGACGUCGGCCAGUCCCUGUCCCUCCUCGCCUCCAUCCCCAAUCCCCUCGCCCUCUUGCUCCUCCGCCAAGCCCCGCUCCUCCGUCGCGACCAGCGCAUGCCACACCGGCGCCGCCUCGCCAAGCGCCACGACCUCCGUUCCGCGACGCCGCCACAACCCCAGGCGCCCAGCCUCCGCCGCCCACCGUCGAUCCCUCGUCGUCGCUCCACCUCCACAGCAGAUCCCCUCCCCGGAACCCCCUCCCCUUUCCCACACACCACUCCCUCCCAUCGACGCACCUUGAUGCACGUCUCCCCACCUUUUGCCCGGUCGCCCCCGGAACGGAUGGAUGGAUGCCUCCACGCUGCCAGUCAUCGAAGCGCCCUGAACACCUCCGUCAUCGCAUCUUGCCCGUCUCCUUCGCGAUCAGCCGUCCCAUCCGUAGUCGACGCCUGGAGAGGCUCUCCCAUUGGUCCCGUAGAUGGCUGCCUCUGAUACAUCACCUAUGAUCUUGGUCUUGUCGAUGGCUGCCUCUGAUACAUCACCUAUGAUUUUGGGGUAUGGAAUAAUUGAUUUGUCUUGUCAUGGUUAGGGAUUAAGGUUUUUUUUUUUUUUUUUUUUACUUUGAUUCCCUUCAGGCUAAGAAAGGAAGAAAUUUGUACUUAUUCAGUGUUUCAGUAUGUUGUAUGUAGAACUACAAAUACAAAUACAAGAUAUGGUUGAUGAUCUGUAAUUCUUCUUCACUAUAUAUUGUCUGUGUUGAUCUUUUAGAUUGCCCAAUUUGGGAUUAUCAGAAAAUGUUUCUAGAUUAUCAGAAAAUGUCAUGAAGCCUUAUAUGUUUCUAAAUUAUCAGAAAAUUUCCUUCAAAAGAAUAUUAUGAGAAAAUGAAAGUGUUGUAAACAUGUCUGCUUGUUUUCCAUUGCCAGACAGACUCCAUUUUGGAUUUUAUUAACCAAUAUAGUAUGUAUUGUCCUGGUUAUUACAACAAAUCACUUGUUGCUCUCAAGUGCGAGAUUUAGCCAUCAAAGCUAGAUGGAGUAAAAAGAUUUUGUUGUUUCCACCAUCCUCUGCUUUUGGUAGAUGGAGUAAAAAGAUUUUGUUUUAAACCUUCUUGAUGGUUAAUAAAGCUGUUUUUUGGUGAUCCAUUAAGCUAGCAGCACUUACGGUUCCCAUGGACUGAAGAUGUGGAUUAAGUCUUCCUGCUCGCUGACAACACAGGUCUGGCUUCCUCUCGGCCAAUCUCCCCCAAUCUCCAUCUCCAAGGUAGCAUCACUAUUUUCCCUUUCCUUUUAUUUUCUUGUGUGUUGGCUCCUAGCCUCCUACAGACCGCUGCGGAAUCAAGAGGCCCUAUGGCCGUGUAUCUUAUGUUUACUCGAUUUCUGCUCAAGAUGUUUCCUCUUUUAUUUUUAGAUUUUAGAUUCCUGGUACCCUUACUGUUUUAGUUUUUUUCAAGAUGAAAUUUCUCUCUUUUAUAUGCUAACAUAGGAUUACUAUAAAUUGAAUUCCUGACACAUUAAUAGUUUGUAUUUACAAACUGUUCAUGGCAAGGAAGUGACGGUGUAAAGUACAGUUGCAACCAUAUAUUGACGAGACUGCGGCCAUCUUGUUUGAUUUCAUUUCCUUUUUGUCUAUUCAUUCUUCAAUGUCUGAUCUAAUAAUUCAGAAAGAUAGCUUUGCAACCCUGCAUAGAAUUUUCAAAUUCAUAUGAAUUCUAAUUUUCCUUCCGGGGGUACUAUGGCCGGUUCAAGAAGUGUCCCACAGAAAGGUGCAUGUCCUUCACUGUUCAAGGUUCAAAUGAAUCCUCACGAAAUGUAAAAACAGGUGACUUACGACAUCAUUGAUUGGUGACCCUGUUAGAUUAUUUUUCUUUAUUGAUUAUGAAGCUGUAGAAAGGAGGUUUUGCAGUACUAACAUUGUAUAGGAUAUUACUAACAUUGUAUAGGAUAUAAUACCAGGGCCAAACAUUUGGGUGGUUUGUAUUAAUGCUCUUCUUUUUCUAGCCAAUCACUUCAUUCAGUUUGACAAUAUGUAUAUCAUUUUUUGUCCUUAACAUUAGAAUGGUAAUGCUUUAAUGCAGCCAACUUUUUUACAAAGUAUUUUAAGCAUAAUUUCACCAAGAUUGCCUUAAUGAAAUGAUUGUCAGACAUAGAUGCACAUGCUUUUUUCUUGCGUUAUGAAAUGUCAGAUAAAUUUAUUUCAAGUUACUACUUGCAAAGUUGUCAAAUCUUAGUCGAGCAAAAGUCAGCAGUACACAAUCUGCACAUAUACGGUACCGUUCAUUUUGAGCAAUGUCUAUACAUGAAAGUCCUUUCUUAGCAGUCAAUUCCAUGGUCCCUGCAAGUGUACAUUCUAUUUGACAAUGCCACGUUUAUUAUUAUUUUGCAUGCUUAUGCAAGAUAUUAUCAAGCUGAUACUUCGCAUUUUCUAGAUUUAUCAAGUUUUGUGUUAAAUUUCUAUCAAAUAUUGGUUAUUUACAGGGUCAGGUUGUCUAAAACAAUACAUGAUUUUUCUGAUUGUGUCCACAUUUUGGAGUUGUAGAAGUGCAGGGAAAGCUAGGCAAAUCAGUUGAGAGACCGAGCAGCUGAGCGUUAGAUGGAUUUAGGGCACUACAUGCCUUUGGCACUUCUUAAGCCAUAGUCACAGUAUUGAUCAAGGAGCAGCCAAGCGGACUGUGGCUUAAGGGGCUAACGAAAGAGAGUGGAUUUCAUCCUAUUAUACUUGUGCUUGGCACCAGCUAACAACAUUUCCUACAGUUAUCAACAACUGGCUAAGGGAGGGCCAGCGGCGCAUGAGGCGGUCCACUGCUAGGUGCAACAAGCUCACAAGGAACAGGCGGCAAGGUCUAUGCGUGGUGCGAGCUGCACGGCGAGCCACACAGUUUGCUCGAGUGGGCUGGUGCUGUGAGCUGCAGGGUGCGAGCUGUGGAAGGAUGGAUCCGCAGGAUUAUGAAUCCUGAAUAUUGGUGAUGGUCAAAUAUUCGAUGUAAUCAAAUGAUGUUCAGUUUCUCACAAAAUCCAUUGCUUUUUACAUUUUGUAUUUUUCUUCUAUCAAACCAGAUCAAGCUGUACAAGAAACAAAGUAAGGCAGAUUUUUUUUUGUUCAGAAACUUCUUUGCAGCAACUUACAAUGUCGAUAGAAAGUUGUCUUGCUGAAACUUUUGUUGUUCUCGUUGGUAAUGUAUGAAAAAAAUAGAAAGAAUGGACAUAGUUAUUGUUUUUGUUA